rnacentral:rRNA from 1 species
AGAGUUUGAUCAUGGCUCAGAUUGAACGCUAGCGGGAUGCUUUACACAUGCAAGUCGAACGGCAGCACGAGAGAGCUUGCUCUCUUGGUGGCGAGUGGCGGACGGGUGAGUAAUAUAUCGGAACGUGCCCAGUAGCGGGGGAUAACUACUCGAAAGAGUGGCUAAUACCGCAUACGCCCUACGGGGGAAAGGGGGGGAUCGCAAGACCUCUCACUAUUGGAGCGGCCGAUAUCGGAUUAGCUAGUUGGUGGGGUAAAGGCUCACCAAGGCAACGAUCCGUAGCUGGUUUGAGAGGACGACCAGCCACACUGGGACUGAGACACGGCCCAGACUCCUACGGGAGGCAGCAGUGGGGAAUUUUGGACAAUGGGGGAAACCCUGAUCCAGCCAUCCCGCGUGUAUGAUGAAGGCCUUCGGGUUGUAAAGUACUUUUGGCAGAGAAGAAAAGGCAUCCCCUAAUACGGGAUGCUGCUGACGGUAUCUGCAGAAUAAGCACCGGCUAACUACGUGCCAGCAGCCGCGGUAAUACGUAGGGUGCAAGCGUUAAUCGGAAUUACUGGGCGUAAAGCGUGUGUAGGCGGUUCGGAAAGAAAGAUGUGAAAUCCCAGGGCUCAACCUUGGAACUGCAUUUUUAACUGCCGAGCUAGAGUAUGUCAGAGGGGGGUAGAAUUCCACGUGUAGCAGUGAAAUGCGUAGAUAUGUGGAGGAAUACCGAUGGCGAAGGCAGCCCCCUGGGAUAAUACUGACGCUCAGACACGAAAGCGUGGGGAGCAAACAGGAUUAGAUACCCUGGUAGUCCACGCCCUAAACGAUGUCAACUAGCUGUUGGGGCCGUUAGGCCUUAGUAGCGCAGCUAACGCGUGAAGUUGACCGCCUGGGGAGUACGGUCGCAAGAUUAAAACUCAAAGGAAUUGACGGGGACCCGCACAAGCGGUGGAUGAUGUGGAUUAAUUCGAUGCAACGCGAAAAACCUUACCUACCCUUGACAUGUCUGGAAUGCCGAAGAGAUUUGGCAGUGCUCGCAAGAGAACCGGAACACAGGUGCUGCAUGGCUGUCGUCAGCUCGUGUCGUGAGAUGUUGGGUUAAGUCCCGCAACGAGCGCAACCCUUGUCAUUAGUUGCUACGCAAGAGCACUCUAAUGAGACUGCCGGUGACAAACCGGAGGAAGGUGGGGAUGACGUCAAGUCCUCAUGGCCCUUAUGGGUAGGGCUUCACACGUCAUACAAUGGUCGGGACAGAGGGUCGCCAACCCGCGAGGGGGAGCCAAUCUCAGAAACCCGAUCGUAGUCCGGAUCGCAGUCUGCAACUCGACUGCGUGAAGUCGGAAUCGCUAGUAAUCGCGGAUCAGAAUGUCGCGGUGAAUACGUUCCCGGGUCUUGUACACACCGCCCGUCACACCAUGGGAGUGGGUUUCACCAGAAGUAGGUAGCCUAACCGCAAGGAGGGCGCUUACCACGGUGGGAUUCAUGACUGGGGUGAAGUCGUAACAAGGUAGCCGUA